rnacentral:rRNA from 1 species
CUACGGGAUGCUCCAGUGAGGAAUAUUGCACAAUGGGGGGAACCCUGAUGCAGCAACGCCGCGUGGAGGAUGACGCAUUUCGGUGUGUAAACUCCUUUUAUAUGUCAAGAAAAUGACGGUAGCAUAUGAAUAAGCACCGGCUAACUCCGUGCCAGCAGCCGCGGUAAUACGGAGGGUGCAAGCGUUACUCGGAAUCACUGGGCGUAAAGGACGCGUAGGCGGGUUGGAAAGUCAGGUGUGAAAUCCUACAGCUUAACUGUAGAACUGCACUUGAAACUUCUAAUCUAGAGUAUGGGAGGGGGAGAUGGAAUUAGUGGUGUAGGGGUAAAAUCCGUAGAUAUCACUAGGAAUACCGAAAGCGAAGGCGAUCUCCUGGAACAUUACUGACGCUAAGGCGUGAAAGCGUGGGGAGCAAACGGGAUUAGAUACCCCGGGAGUC